AUAGAUUACUACACACCUAGGCUCUAUGGCAUACCCCAUUGCUCCUAUGCGAUAAACCUAUACAGCAUGUAACUGUGCUGAAUACUGUAGGCAAUUGUAAUAAAAUGGUAUUUGUAUAUCUAAACACAGAAAAGGUAGAGUAAAAAUAUGGUAUAAAAAUAUAAAAUGGCACACUUGUAUAGGGCACCCUUACCAUGAAUGGAGCUUGCAGGACUGAAAGCUGCUCUGGGGUUGUUAGUGGACAUCAUCCGAGCAAAACUUGAAAAGUGCUUAUAUGACUGGGCUUACCUGUACAUGUUCCUGCUUUUACAUGAGAGGCACAUGCCUCCAAUAUAACCACUGGUCCAAGAAAGAUAGGAAAUACAUGGAGAAAACCUGGUUUCUAUCUGAAGUUUGGAGCCACCCCAACAAAAAAAAGCCUGAAGAAGGGGCACUCCAAGCCACUCAAAAACACAUGAGCAAGAAAUAAAUGCCUAUUGCUGAUGCCACUGAUAUGUUAUGGUUGUUUGUUAUUAUGCUGAAAAAACAGACAAUAAAAAUUAACAAUAAUUCCUUAAUAUCAAAUACA
rnacentral:lncRNA from 1 species